GGAAGCCCAUGUCUGUAGAUU
rnacentral:miRNA from 1 species